rnacentral:lncRNA from 1 species
UCCCGACCGAAGGUAGAGAGGGCUACGUGGUGGGGGAGGGCGGGGGGAGGGUCCUGGCGGCAGUGGCAGCUUCUGGUGUCGGGCUCUAUCCCACAGAAUUAGGAGACCCGGGAGAAAAUGCUGACAUCGUGUUGAUGAGGAUUCCAAUCUGCAUGAUAAAUACAGUUCUCACUGUAAAUGUCUGUAAACUCGAGUACUGCGGGUCCAUCCCGGAAAGGCAGAGCCUCUCUCCCCAGGAGCAUCUGAACCUGCGGAAGCCAAGGGUCAGGCCCCAAGGAGAAGCCACCUGGAAAUUCCACCCCGUGAGAUGUUACAUUCCCCUCAAACCUUUCUGAAGUAUGAUAGGUUGUAUAUUAAGGUUUUUUCCAUAGUUUGAGUCUUUUUCCUUAGAGUAGUUAUUUUUAAAACAUUUCCUUGAGCACUGACAGUGUGCCAGGCACUGUUCUAAGCCCUUUAGAAGUAACAGUGCAUUCUUUGACUGGAGUUCUGGGACCUAGGGUUGUGAACUUAAAUUUUUUUUUUUUUUUAAGAUUGGCACCCGAGGUAACAACUGUUGCCAAUCUUCUUUUUUAUUUUCUGCUUUUUCUCCCCAAAUCCCCCCAGUACAUAGUUGUAUGUUUUAGUUGUGGGUCCUUCUAGUUGUGGCAUGUGGCAUGUCACCUCAACAUGGCACGAUGAGCGGUGCCAUGUCCGCGCCCAGGAUCUGAACUGGCAAAACCCUGGGCCACCAAAGCAGAGCACGCGAACUUAACCACUCGGCCGUGGGGCCAGCCCUGUGAACUUAAAUUUUUUUUCUCUUUUUAAAUACCAAAACACUCAAGAAAGGCUAAAAAAAAAAUCCAAAUUAGAAAAUUAUAAAAGAAAUGAGACCCUUCUCCAUCCAACUCAUCUUGCCCUCCAGAGCUAGAGCUGCUAAUAGCUCAGCGUAUGACUCCUUCCUGACUUUUCUUAGGAUUUUACAGUCAUAGCCAUAAAGUAAAAUAAAAUAUACUAUAUAUAUCUCUCUCUCGUCGUCGUUUGGUUUUCCCCGCGAUGCAGCCCUGUUCCACAUGCCGAUCUGCGCCUGGCCUUUCCCUUGGCUGUCCUCGAGGUGCUUCUCCCGCACCCGCUCCUGCUCCCUGGGGCUAAGCUGCCCUGCCUCAGGGCGCCUGGCGGUGCUGGACAGGAGACCAGCGGCCCAGAGCGUGUUCUCUCCAUCAGGACGGGGGUUGCUCAAGUGCUGGUCUUCACCGUCUCUCAGGAAGGGCCCAAACCCGGAUCUGAGGCCCCACAGAGCACGUCCGUCUUUCUGGUUAUUGUUGUGCCUUAUCUUCAGGAACCCUACCUGUGCCACAUCCAACCCCCAACAGAAUACCCUUUUGUUUCUUCUUUUAACACGAAAAAGUAGUUUUCAUACCAAUAGAGACUUGAAGUAAGAGGGCUGUUGUUUACCUCCACACUGACCCCUCAACGCCCUGGCCCCACUUGCACCCAGCUCCAACAGCCCCUUCUAGUGCUUAGUCUUGGUUUGCUUCCUAAAAAGCGAGUACCAGUUUACACUGCAAUACCUGCCCAUCGCCGUGCCUCUCUCUCAGCCUGCCCUCUCCAAGUCUAGGUGUUUCAACAAAAAGGGAAAAUCUUAGCUACAUUGAAAAAUGGUGUCUAGGUUUAAUUUGCAGUUUUUGUUAUGAUUCUUUGAACUCUUUUUGUGUAUGCUUAUUAACCUGUUUUAUUUUCGUUUUUUAAAUUCUCAAUGUUCUAUUCACUUACCGUGUUUUUUAAAGUAAAUUAUACAAAUUCUCUGAAAAUAAUUUUAUAAUGUGCUCAUUCUAAAAGACAGACAAAAAACUUUAUUUGCUGUGAAUAUUUUUCCAAUUUGUCUGCCAUCUAAUUUUGGCUUUAUCAUUAAACAUAUAAAACCUCAUUUUUCAUUUUUCUGUAGACAAACUUUGUCCUUUUUGAUUUCUUCCUUUGCUUGUAAGCUUUAAAAUGUUUUUUCUUUAUUCUGUAUUCCAGUAUUUUAAGUUUGCUUUUUGACAUAUUACUUUAAAAAGCUAAUAUUCAGUUUUAUUUUAGAUUUUCACAAAAUAUUUCAUAAAAGUAUUGUGUAAUGUUUUCAAUAAAAUCAGUUUGAAUUAGAUAAAGGUCUAUGUUUUAUUUUAAAGAUGUUUAGUGUAUGUAUCAUGUAUUAUUCCUUUUUAAAAUACUUUAUCAGAAUAUCGAAGCUUGCUCCAUAAAACUGAUUCAAAUGUAUGUAUAAUUCUCAUAAUUUUAAUGUUGUUAGCACUUGCAUACAUUGCUGCAUGAAACAGUGUCUGUCUGUGGCUCCCGCUCUGGUUUAAAGCAGCACACUGCUUCCGCUAACAGCUCCUCGGCGUGUAGCCACGAUGCUGAAUUUGCCUCUUCCAGUCCC